GGUAAAGAAACGUUAGUGAUUGCGUCUCAAAAUGCGAUAUAGCAACAUAUAGUGGAUCAGUGCUCGCUCUUAAGUAAUGUAAGUGAGUACCCUGUGUCCUCCUAGUGCCCUAAUGUGACGGAACAGUAUUGACGCUGAUAACUGCGCGGCAGCACAGCAACUGAAUCUGCAUCUAGAUUGCCCAGGCAACCCCCUGGUGAAGGGGCGUGUGACUGUGUCUCGCUGCCGGAGACUCCAAAAUCUCACUAUUCACUCCCGAGCGCCCGAGCAGCAAAGAGCGGAGACGCGUAGUGAGGGGAAAUAACUUGGUUUCUUUUCUCAAGUGAAGGACUCUUUACUGUAUCGUUUACAAUUCACCUCCGUCAAGCGACCUUUCGGACCCGUUCUGUUGUUCGUAAGGGGAAAAAGCCGUAAAGCCAUCACCGAGAGAGCAGCGGAGAACCGGUUGUCUGCGCGCGGAGAGUCUCCGGGAAUCGCCAGUGUCUAGCAGUCUUGGGUUGGAGGCUGUGCUGUGGGUUCGCACCGGCGUGUGGACUAGCCUAUUGAUUCUCUGGAAGCACACUUGGAAAUCGACUCUCCUCUCGUCAGCGUUUGAAGACCUGUCCCGUAGUCCUGUCGGUGUGUACGGAAACUGGACGGUGGACCGCGUCUACACACAGAGCCCAAACAGGGGCAUGCGGUUUCCUUUCGGUUACCGGAGCCAUCCAGUCUGAUAUCAGAUAGCCUACCUGGGAUUGCAAGUCCACAGAAGCAGCGAAGGAUUACCUGUGCCUGGUCAUCAUUUUUAGGACUUGAAACGAGAGGGGAGUCUUUGGACUUUUUUUUCUUCUUCAAAUUGUUCUUGAUCCGACUUCUUGGAGAGGAAAUGGCAUCGCCAGUGUUGGAGAGAGGAACUCAACUGGAAGAGGAGAGAGGAAACCGCAGCUGAAUGACAGGAUGCUAGCGACUUGAGACACAUUCAGACGAAAUUCAACUGCGUAAAGACACUUCUUGCUCUAUUUGUUUGCCGUAGGUCUAAGUUUUAAAAGAAAGAAGAAAAAUAGCACGGCUCGAGACACCGAAGAGAUUUCUUUCGUUUUUGUUUUCUUAAUUUUACUUUUUGUGACAAAACAAGGAUGCAUUGUGGAUUAGUUCUGAUCCUCUUAAUGGGAAUUGUCAUCUUUGCCAGAGCUUCGAAAAAUGACAAGUGUGGGGAUAACAUCCGAAUCACGAGCGCAAACUACCUCACUUCCCCUGGCUACCCGACGUCAUAUUUUCAAUCUCAGAAAUGCGUGUGGGUGAUAACAGCGCCGGGACCUCACCAGCGGAUCCUAAUCAACUUCAACCCGCAUUUUGAUCUCGAGGACCGCGAGUG